CACCUCAGUUUAUCCACCAGCCUCAGCCUCUCAAAGUGCUGGGAUUACAGGCGUGAGCCACCCUAUCAGCCUCACUUCUACCCUCACUUCUACCCUCAGAGGAGGAAUGGAGGCUCAGAGCGGGCAAGUGUUCCACCCAGCAUCACACAGCGCGCCGAGUGAGAGCCUGGUCAUGAGCCUGGGCCUGACUGCAGGCUCCUGUUGGGAGCUCACGGAGAUGGGGGUCUGUCCAGAACUGAGAGGCCAGGGGACCACAGUGGCCUCCGACCCCUGGAGGGCCCUGGAGGCUGCUGCUGGCUCCCGCCCGGGGCAGAUGGAGGUCACUGUCACCCAGGCUGCCUCUCAUGGUGCCAGGAGCCCAGCAGGGCGGGAGCCACCAGCCGAUUUGCCUUUCCCUGGGCAGGAAACUCAGAAAUGUGGCUACACAUUCAGGCUGCCUGGCUUGCGGUGAGCACUCAUCUCUUAUCAGGCAAGCAGCCAAGCACCUUUCCUGAAAUAUUGAGGCCUCGGAACAAGCCCCAGGGGAGCUGCCAGCACUGUCAUCUCCACCCAGAUAAGGAAACCCAGGUCCUGAGAGGUUAUGCAGCUCCCACAAGACCACACGGCUGGCGGAGGUCAGACUCUGGGUUGCAGAAGGAUAAUGUGAGCAGAGACCACAAAAGAGGAUGGAGCCACCGAGGCAGGGAGAAGUGCUUUGCCCUACAAGCAACUAAGUCAUAGGGCCAGGAGCAAAACCUUGAAAACCUCAGCAGACUCGCAGAGCCAUGAGGCUGGCUCAGCAACACAAAAGCCGGGGGCAAGCCUCAGCUCUAGCAGUGCGCUGGGAGUACCCAAGGCCCGUCACAUCCUAGGGUGGCCUGGAGAGUCCUGACCCCUGGUGUGCAAGCCAGCAUCGUCCCCGGGACUGUGAGUCUGGUGGAGGUGAUGCCCAGGAGGGUGACCCUGUGUGGCUCAGAGGUACCCUUAAGACAGGAGGAUCAUCAGGCAGGCCCUGACCUCAUCACAGGAGCCCUUUAAAAGCAGUUUCCUUUGCCUGGUUGAAGAAAUUGGGGGAUCAAAGCAAAGAAGGUUCUCUGCUGUUGAGACGAGGGGACACGUGGCAAGGAUCUGAGAACUGCUCCCGGCCAACAGCCAGCAAGACGACAAGACCUUAACCGCAAGGAAGUGAGUUCUGCCAACAAGAAGAGAAUGGGCUUGGAGGCAGGUUUGACCCCAGGGCCUCCACACAAGAACUCAGCCCAGCUGCCCACUUGGUUUCAGCCUUGGGAUACUAAGAAUUAGGAGGUAAUAAAUGAGGGUUGUUUUAA